UAAUAAAUACAAUAUGGAAGUAAAAAAAUACCAUUUCAAAAUUUUUAUCACUUUAACUUGCAAUGACUCAAGAAAUUGUCUCAAUCUUUGCACUUAAUUCAUAUCUUAUCUUACUACAAUCUCUCUCUUUCUCUCUCCAUAAUUCCAAAUAAUCUACUAUUCAAAUGAUAAAUUAAAUACUAUCACUUUUAUACUUAAUGUAAGAAUCACAACAAUGCA
rnacentral:lncRNA from 1 species